AUGGUUGUCUACAAUGAUUUAGGG
rnacentral:siRNA from 1 species